UUCUGUAUCUGUAUCUGUGCGCUGUAGGCGCUGACAAAUGUAUCUCACAGAUCGCAGAACAUCGAUUUAAUGAUUGGAUUGUCAACCUCAUGCGUUGACUUGUUUCGUUAUCCACCUCUCUGGCGACUGGAUACUGAAAUACGGAUAAUAGAAAAUAAGCUAGCUAUUUCUUAUUAUGACAAUGACAACACACACGGUAAAAUUGGUUGGCAACGAGCAAAGCACGGCCAAAGGACAACGACUGCAGGCCAGCGCAGCGACAGCGAAAGAUUU